CCCGCCCCUCGACCCCGGCCACAGUUCCCUACCCGACUUGCGCCCCGGGAGACCUGGUCCCGGAGUUGGCACCACCAUGUGCCCAGGAGCGCCCACCCCUUGCAUGCCUUGAAGCCCCCUUCCCAUUUCUAUGAGCUGACACUCACCAGUUUUCCCCCUUCUCUGUGUCCCAACAGGGGCUGGAGAAUCAGGAAAAAGCACCAUUGUGAAGCAGAUGAAGAUCAUCCAUGAAGAUGGCUUCUCUGGAGAAGACGUAAAGCAGUACAAGCCUGUCGUCUACAGCAACACCAUCCAGUCUCUGGCAGCCAUUGUGCGGGCCAUGGAUACUCUGGGCGUGGAGUAUGGUGACAAGGAGAGGAAGGCAGACUCCAAGAUGGUGUGUGACGUGGUGAGUCGCAUGGAGGACACUGAACCAUUCUCUGCAGAACUGCUUUCUGCCAUGAUGCGAC
rnacentral:lncRNA from 1 species